rnacentral:rRNA from 1 species
UACGGAGGGUGCGAGCGUUAAUCGGAAUUACUGGGCGUAAAGCGUGCGCAGGCGGUUUUGUAAGCCAGGUGUGAAAGCCCCGGGCUUAACCUGGGAAUGGCAUUUGGGACUGCAAGGCUUGAGUGCGGCAGAGGAGACUGGAAUUCCUGGUGUAGCAGUGAAAUGCGUAGAUAUCAGGAGGAAUACCGAUGGCGAAGGCAGGUCUCUGGGCUGACACUGACGCUCAUGCACGAAAGCGUGGGGAGCAAACAGG